rnacentral:tmRNA from 7 species
ACAGGUUUCGACUGAGGUUUUGUUUCGGCAGGAGAAGCGAGCCGAGCUCAGACAACUCGUAAAACUAUCUGGAAAAUAUAAACGUCAACAAUACAAGCGAAUACGCUUUAGCUGCUUAAUUGCAGCUCGCCAAACUAGAGUGCGCCCACGACUCUAGAGCGGCGUCAUUGCAGUGGGCUUACCUUACCCGGACACCCAUAAGGGUUUAAGGAAAAUUUCAUGGGCUAGCAACCGGCUUACCCCGCCUGUGGGGACGCCGCAAGCGAACCUUUAAGCGCAGGAUACGCUCGUAGAUGCUUCUGUGGAGAUGCUUUAGGACGUGGGUUCGAUUCA